UAUGUUACUGAAGAUGAUUUAAUUUCUUAUAUUCUUGCAAGUUUAGGAACUGAAUACGACCCUGUGGUUGUAAAUAUUACAGCAAGAACAGAUGGUUUAUCUCUGCCUGAAGUAUUCUCUCUUUUGCUCAGUCAUGAAA
rfam:Citrus sinensis cultivar Ridge Pineapple sweet orange scaffold01377_contig_3, whole genome shotgun sequence.